rnacentral:rRNA from 1 species
CUAAACUGAGGAAAGUCGGCCGAAACUGAUCGACUCGAGGAACGUAGAGGGAAGCGGAACUCUCGGAGUAGCGGUGAAAUGCGUAGAGACCGAGAGGUACCCCGAUGGUGAAGACAGCUUCCUGGGCGUUUCCUGACGCUGAAGCGCUAAGGCCAGGGGAGCGAAGGGGAUUAGAUACCCCCGUAGUCCUGGCUUCAAACGAUGUGGGCUUGGUGUCGGCCCCCGACAGAGGGUCGUUGCCGGAGCUAACGCGUUAAGCCCACCGCCUGGGGAUUACGUCCGCAAGGAUGAAACUCAAGGGAAUUGACGGGGGCCCACACAACCGGUGGAGCACGUGGUUUAAUUCGAUGAUAAGCGAAGAACCUUACCAGGGCUUGACCUAGCGGUGGUAGGAUCCUGAAAGGGAGACGACCUCAAGCUUUGCUUGAGGAGCC